UGACUUUAUCUCCGAAACAUCUAACAUGAGCUGUCCCUCUGAUGUACUCAUUCCUGAUAUCCUCAAAUUUGUCAUCAUAUUUACAGGAAUUUGUCUUGCUGAUGUAGAUGUUGUGAUCUACAACAGUGGCCCGCAACCUUUUCAACCUGUCACCUCUUACAACAAAGCUGUCUACUUGCAAUCGUUGUCACAGUGCAUACUGUAUGUCUAUGGGUUGUGGCCAGUUCCACCACAGAGGGAUUUCAAUUUCUAUGUUUAAUGUCAUUAGUUUUAGAGGCCUAAAGGGGUAAAAUUCAGUCAGUCCAGUUAUUUUACAAGAAAAGAGAUUAGAAAAGCAUAUAAAUACUACAUAGUAAUAAGACACAAUUUGUGUAGCAUUUUUUUUUUCUUCUUUGCUUUCAUAUCCUGUUAAUUAUCUUGUGACCCCUCCACUUUUUCAUUGUGACCUUAAUGGGACUGGGAACCACCGAUCUACAAAACACUGGCAUAGUGGGUAGACAACAGGUCUACACAUUUGGUUCAUGUCCUACAGUUGAAUUGUUGUGGUAAACAUAGCACUAUGACUACAUAUAUUACAUGCAUACAUGUCUGUUCAUUUGGAAUCACUUAAACAGAUUGCUCAGAAAAAAGGAAGCUAGAGCUUUACAAUUGCAUGAACUGACACGUGGCGUUUUGGCAGAAUAUGUUCCCCUGAGAGAUGUGGCAUUAUGUCUUUGCUGUCAUUUUAUGCUAGGAGAGAAAAUAAUAAAGUAAUUUUAAUGUUUUGGUCAUUGUUAAUGUCUACAUCAACUUGUAACACUUGUUCUUUUGAUAGAACAUUUUAAUAACUGAUUGUGGCUUGCUGAAAGUAAUCUACCUCAGGCAUUAACACCUGCUUGUGACCUUUUCGCCUGGCAACCAUCUUCAUUAGUCAACUUUGUAUCCUGCAUUUCCCCCAUAAAAGCUGCAACAUUGCACACAAUGAAGACAAAUUGAGGACACACAAGAAGAGGAAACUUUUUUUAGGGACACACGGUUCUGAGCAGCAGUAGCCUGAUGCAGCAUAGCAUGCUGGGAUAUUUUUGCAGACUGGUCUCAGCUUAAACACUCGUGGCCUGUUUUUACAGAGCUUAACGUGUUGAAAGCCUAUCCCCGGUGAAAAGGGGGGAGCAGUAGAUUAAAAAAAAAAGUGAGGGAAAAGAGAGCGAGCACAGGGAAAAAAAAGCUGACUUCCGCACAGGGAAGGUUCAAAGGGACCUCCGCUCCUGCGUGGUCUGUUUGUUGUCAUUUGAUCCAUGAGUUGAUUUUCUAUCUCUCUCUCUUUCAGCCUUCCUGUUCUUCUCUUUCACUCACAGGAAACAGAGGGAUGCGUGUACACAAGGCCUCUGGCAACAGGUUGACCCUUUUCCCUUCCUUUGUGGGUUAUUUGUUCCAAACUUCCUGUAUCCUUUUUACACAGUGUACUGAACCCUAAAUAGUCUUACUUCCAUGACAUAUAACCAGCUAAUGUUCAUAACUGACUUACUGUGCAGUAAGCCACAAAAGACGACAAUAGAGUGCUUUUUACUGAUACCAAUCCAUGGUCAUUUUCUAGGGGGAAAAAAUUAACUGUGUUAAGCACUGGAUGUCUUUUCCUACUUGUAUACCUUUUGUUUAAGAUAUUUACAUAACAUGUCCAGUGACCAUAAAAUGUUUUCUGUGUGCUUUUUGCUGUCCGCCCUGUCAGCAAACAGUUUGUGCCACCACAGAGAGCAAACAGCUAUCUUAACUACCUCAGAGUGCUUGAUUUGCAUCAGUGAAAAAAGGGACCUGGUAAACAUUGAUUUGGCAGAUAGUUCUAGAUCGACCUUUUGGCAGUAUAGAGGACAACUUUCUUAAAAUUGAUAGAAUUAGAACAUGAAUGAAUUUUGUGAAGAGCUGGGCAGGUUUGGAUAUAGCGGCAUGCACCAUUGAAACUUCAAAAUAAAAUUCCAAAACUAGUUUCAAAUCAACCACAGCUGCUUUAGGGGGGAGCUGUAGCACAGACAUUAACAAGGCUACGGGUUCAACUUUGGGGGCGGCACAAUAGCGAGUGAUUAAACACUUCCAUUUUUAUUAGCAGCUACUGGAGUGGAGCAAAGUACUAGAAUCAGAAUUUGAGACUGGGACCUGAGUCAGACUUAAGUCACAAAAAAGAGCACUUGAAACACUUACUCGAGACUUGACUGACUAAAGAAUUGACUUGAUACCUGGAUGCAAAAACAUUCAAGUUUCAAGUUUUGACGAAGUAAACUCCCACAGCAAUAACAAAAUAAAUAAAUCAGAGCCUGGUAGAACUUGCACAGCUGCACACUUAGUCUUAGUUAUGCAAAGAUAGUAUUAAAACAGUUUUGAAAGCUAAAGGUCCCCCAAUGCAAUGUCAUUAUAAUGAUCAACAACAACAAUAAAGACCUCCACAGAGACCUGCAAGGCAGUUUGACUUGCACAAAUCCCUCCAACUCCCCUCCCAUAUAUGCUGCCGGGCUUCCGACAUGGCUCAGUUUUCAGUUGGAAUAAGGGACCAUAUGUGGGAACAGUCUCCAUUCCUCAGAUAAGGAAGUCGUGGACUUCCUGGCAUCUUGGCUUGUUAUUGGUCCAAAACCAUAUAGGUCGAAGGUCAGUCUAGUGGAUCACACAUCCUUCCUUCCUGGCCGUCCACAACCUGUUUGGUGAGUGGGACUCAUGUCAUGGCCUUCAAUGUCUAUUUAUUUUGUGUCAAGAGAAAGGACUUAAAUUCUUAAAACCCCAAUCCUUAUUUUUUUACCACACAAAUGUGAAGUAUAUUCACAUUUGUAAUUUAAGAAUUUGACUUAACAAUGAAAAAAAACACACACACUCACUGUCACCCACACACACGGUCAACAUAAUGCUCAUCACUGCUGCUUUAUGUAUAAAAUCCUUCACUUUUCUGACCACGUUAUUCACUUUGUUAGGAAUGGUCUCUUUAAAUUUAGAGUCUGUACAACCUAUUAUUUUAAGUACUAUACUUAUGUAGGCCCAGACUGUCACUUGAUACAUGCACAAUAAUGUUGCCAAAAGCUGAUGCAAAACUAGAAGGAGCAAAGUCUUUACUCACAACUUUACCUUAAAUGGAGACUGCCAAACUUCAAUAUUGUUUCUCUGUAUUAGUCAUUGGCAGAGCAUGUCUAUAAUAUCUGCCAGUGUUUUCUGUAGCCAACUGUACCAGCCAGUUUUCUUCCACCAUGAUGUAUUCUUCUGACAUCAGUGGAUGGCAGAGGAAGAGUUUGACUGAGCCCCAAACUAGUAAAUCACAGAAUUCCAGGGAUGCUUUCUUUCACUUGGCAGAUGUGAUAAGAAGCCUACCCAGUCAGCUUGUAUCUGGAUGUCAACAACAGACCUCCCACACCUCGUCUUCUGCUGUGUGAUUGACAGAUGGCCUGACAGAUCCUGAAAGCGUGAUACUCUCUCUCCUCAUAAAUUCCUGACUGUGGCACAAGGGGCAGCAAACAUGGUUGAAGGCUGAAGCUGAUAAGAAAAUGCAAUACAUGUGAUGCUGGCUUCAUUCAGUCUAGGUUUGGCUCCAAACAAAUCUUGCAAGGUAAAGAUAUUGCAAGGCAACAUUCUCUACAAAAGUAUUUGUCAGUUGUUCGUGAACAACACAACACUACUGGGCAUGCCCGUGCCGGUAUAAACAGGAAGCAGACUGUCAAAAGUUAUGUAUUUUAAAAUGAAAAUGUAUAGUGUGGAUGUAGCCUAGAAAACAACUGUCCAAUCUGAGCUGAUUUGUAAAUGAUAUGCUGAGUGCUAAAGAUGCCCGAAAGCUGUUUAUAUCUGUACAUGUGAAUCCGGAGUGACUGACAGAAAUGGGCCAAAGGCAGAGGGAAGUGGACACCCAGUGAAGGGGAAAUCCUCUCUGUGGGUCACACACACACACACACACACACGGGAUAUGAGCGUGACACUUUAUUGAAGCUGACCAAGCCCUCUACACAAUUGUAACACACACACUCACAGAUAGGGAAGCAGGACAGCAGUGAGGCGAUGCAGAGCAGAGACAGAGUGAUGGACCUGUUGAUAACACUGGAGCUGCCAUUGUCUUCACAGACCUCAGACCAGGGUGUGUGUCUGUGUGUGUGUCUGGGGCUGUCACGAAACAGCUGGAGGGAACUUCCCUGGAAAUCAAAGUGUGCGUGCUUUUCAGUUUCUAUAUCACUUGGACAAUGCGGUUUACAGAAAUAUCCAUAUAUAACAUUAUAACAUUAAUAUUAUUGUUUUUAAUGUAACUAAUACUAAAACCAAAAAACCUGAAAACACUUGUAGCAAACCUGCAAAAUAGUAAAUAAUCACCACUCUCUCACAAGAACAAUCCAUUACUUUAUUUUUAAACAUACACUUGGUUAUAUGACAUAAUCAUAAAAAUCUAAAUAACUUGAAAAUAUUUAAGCUUUGAGAACAUGGUGUCAUGGUACAUGGUACAAAUCAGACAGUUAACAGAUUUUGGACAUUGUUUAUAGGUGAGUUUACAACAACACACACCAACUGCCCUUGACAACACAGGAAAUAAGUGUGUGUGCAUGCGUGAGUGUGUAUGUAAGGACGAGUUUGCACAACACAGGAAACAUGUGCGCCUACUUGUCUGCGUCUGUGUAUGUGUGUGUGUGUGCCUGCAUGUGUGUGUCAUCCUCGGUCCCCCAGGUGUUGUAGGUGUAAAUGGUUCUUUGAUUAAUUAGUUUGUGGAUGGGUGGUGAGACGGCAGCUGACAGAACAGCAGAGACUAGAUCUCACUGUGGGCUGAAAAGGUCUGAAUCUCCACCUCACUGAUGUAGAUACAUGUGGAAAUGCAGUUUACAUGUGGAAAGCUUUCUUUUUCUUACAAUUUGUCAUUUACACUUAAAGUCUAUAAGUGCUCUUCCCCCCCCCCCCUCUUCCUCACUGGCAGUUUGCAACAAAACAACAAAAUUUUGAUCUUUUGAACAAAGUCAUCAAUUUUUAAUCUGUCUUUAAGAUGUCGAUUUUACAGGCAAAACUUAGAUUUUGGGUUCAUCCUGUAAAAUAUUUUGGCAUAAAGAUAUUGUACAUCAGCACAAAACAAAAUCAUUUAUAAGCAGCUUUAAUCCACAGCUUUCUGAAACCAAGUCAGCCCCCCAAAAACCCACAGCCUUCGUCACUGUAGUACUAAAAACCAGAGCACUGUGUUUCCAAGAGAACAGUCUGUACAGAAUGAUUUGUUAAAUGGCAUCACAUGCUGUUCACCUGUGAGUGUGUGUGUUUGUGUGGGUGUUGCUCUGGUGAGCGUUCUUGCCCCUGUACAGUGUGAUAAGAGAAGGAAGCAUGUGGUUGUUAUCUGUGCGCAGGAGCCUGGCAGCUCCUCCUGUUUUGUCUCUGCUAAUCUCAAACUCUGCUGCAGCUGAGAACCUUCGAAGGAAUUCUUCUUCAUCACUAAUGUCUCCUCGCCUUCAUGCUGCAUGGCCUUUCUGCUUUUUGACUUCAUGUUGUUUGGCUUUCACAUUGCAUUGUCUUGCCUUUGUGCUGUGUUGGGUUUUGCGUCACUUUUGCAUUGCAUUGCGUCACACACCAGUGAACACCUCUGAACAUUGAAGAAGUUCAACUCUUGAUUGCUGAUGCAUGCUUUCACCCUCAAACACGUAUUUGUAACCACAGUGAAAAACUACCAGAUCAAAUAUCUUCCUCUGAUCUUGCCAUGAUGUUGAUUGUGGCACAUUUAGACCCCAUUUACACCUGAUAUUAACAUGCGAUCUAUGGAUCUGGAUUAGAUCCUGACCGACGCUGGAUUUUUGAGACUGAUAAAUGUUGAUAUUUGAGACUUAUUCAACAAUAUGUAAGUCAAGUUUUUUUUAACGUAAACAGAUAGCAUAAGCAAACGUUUUUGAUAAGGAUCAUAUUAAUUUGGUUAUUAGACUGUGUGACCUGUACUGAGUGUGACAUUUUACUUGUCUUUGAUAAGCUAAAAUUGAUUGAUAAUAUUUGUCAUGCCAAUGUAUUAGUAGGAUUCUAAUCUGGAUAUGUUAUCUGGAUAAGGGCAUGACCUGGUAAUCAUAAGCAUCCUUGUUCUCUUUAUUCUGCCACCAUCAUGAUUGGAACAUAAUGGUGAGAUGCUUGGAAUAAAGUUUGGGGAAUCUAAA